UAUAUUUUUAGCACUGGAACACGAUGCUCAUACACUGUGUUGUUAUCUUUCUUUUUUCGCCUGCUCCUUCCUCCAACUUGUGUCUUUGAGUAUUUCAGUCACAUGCUCAAACGUUCUUAAAUGCUCUCGCCAUCGGUUUACGGAUGCGUUGAAAACGGACAUGUGAUGACCAAAUUUAACAAUAUGCGGACAAUGGAUCGACUUCUUGAAGCCUGUGGACGUGAUACACCUUCUCCAUCACCAUCAAGAGGUCAACAUUUUCGAAGACACUUGCGUACGGCUGCAGUGUCCGGCGCAAUGCUGAAUGCGACCUGUUAUCUGUUGGAUCUACUCUGUGAGCCCGAACCCCAGUGCAAUGGCACUGUUCGACUAUAGCGCUGGACGUCGUCUACUUUUUGCUAGAGGGAAAGGUCAUCAUCCGUCCAUGAACUUCGGGCUGCUCACAGCUAUAUUGCCUUGGCAAGUUCUUUGAGCACUCAAUACUGGACUUGGGCUGCGAAAGCUAAUGACAAUUUGGGGAGCUUGAUAUUGCAAUGGCUAUGACGUGAAGGCUCAAUAUGACGAACAGCUCGACUAUUCACCAUUGUCAACGCUUAUGAUAGCUAAAUAUCAUUGUGCUUGGUGUACAUUCACGUCUCGUUUCCUUGCUCCAUUUGUACCUCACCGGUCGUCCGUCCCCACAGGCCUCGGCUGCAGCACAAGCCACAUUCAUCGGCCCAAUCAUCAGUUAUUCAUCCUGCAAGUUUUAAGUCACUUCGUUGUGACCCGGACAUCGUCAUCUUUCAACGAGUUCAAAUGAUUAUUUCAUUCAUCAUCGUCGAUCAGACUCAUCAUGUAAAGACACUUCCAUAAUGCUAGCCGCCAUCUACGUUUGUGCAGGAAGCAAAUAUCAGGUUGUUAUUAGCUGCGGGCUACUCAGUACCGACUGAACUACUGGCAGUAGUGUGCGAGCACCUAAUACUUGUAUUGUGAUACCAAAGCUAAAACGGAUGAAAGCUUAGCGCAUAGGGCCCUACCGCUUUCCACACACACACAAACAAAACUUGACUUUGGGCAUUAGCACCAUGGCAGGAUAAACAGGCAGUUUCGCUGUUUUUCACUGCUUUCAUUGGGAGGUGUUACUGCUCAUUCCCGUUCUAUGUGAUGUUAGAACAGCCCUUCACCAUAGUCCUGUUUUCUCCUUUGCCGUUUUCCAUAGACAUCAGAUGCGACAUGCACUCCAACGAUCGGUCAGGCGCAUCACCGUCAAUCCGGUCGCCUGUUAAGCAGUUCGUAAUCACCGUCAGUCUUCGACAUCUGUCAACACACUUAUCCACAUUAUCGCCUUACUUUUGAUCUUAUCAAUAUGCAAGAAUGAGUGCAAAAUGCAUUCCAAUAUUGCAUCAGUUGAUGUUGUAUCGCAAUGACACCGCGUCCUCACCUCACAUCUGUUGUGCAUACUUGAUCACGAAUGCCAGUUAUACGCAGAUUCACAUGGUGAAGUUUUACUCCGUUGACGUUUUCUUUCCAUUCUUGUAGUCGAUCAAGAGGGAUUACAGUUGCACAUGCGGCCUUACACAUGCGUUCUUACAUGUUAGCUGAUUGAUAUGUUGGACACACUGGUUCCUGUGACUCCAAGUAGUUCUGCAUUGGUAUUGCUUCACUUUAUAUGUUCUACCCAAAGAUCGUUUCUAGUUUUGUCUUAGCUUGCAGCUGUAUGCCAUGAACAUACAGGGUACUGCGCAUCUUUAUCGUGACAUUCCUGUAGUUUCGUCACUUUCGCGGAUGAUUAGGACCAUGAGCUCAGUUGCAGAUGCGUCCAGCAGCCACCGACAUUUCUACACUUUAAAUUCCUAGUCUCGGAUCUUAUCCACAUGCCAACAUGAUUUGAACAUUUCACACGUUUAGUGAUGAAAUGAGCAGGUAUCAUCUACUACAUUAUAUUUUCAUGUAAAGCACACUCCAGUCUGUGAAAAAAGAAAACCAUUAGGAGCAACAAUCAUGCCUUAGACAGUAUAGUUGCCAUAGAUAUUACGUUGUGCAGCGGGCAGGCCGGUGCACGAAAUGGCGAGUGUGAAUGCAGGAAUGCGUGUGAAAAACUGCCUAGGUGUGGAGUGGCUGGUUUGUCUUCCGUUACAUCGUAACGGGCUCUUGACGUAGUCUUUUUUUAGUAACACCAAUCAUCUUUCGAACUUGAAUUAACGUAAUUGAAAGAUGGCUAUCACAUUUGGAGCCAACUUUUUUGCUAACUGCGUCAAGGGCGGGCAGCGCGGUGCGUGGAUGCCUUUUGGUAAAGCUCACGUCCUAAUAUACUAUCCAGCCCUUACCAAGCGUGCAUCCAUGUUUCCUCCAUCCGGCUCCUCGUGCCGCUGCCUGGAAUAUUAGCCUACGGCUAAUAUACCAAGAGAUGGAAAACUUUUCGUUGGUAUGGAAUAUGGAUGCCUCGUGGUUCAACUGGUGAUGUUCAAAACAACUGUACCGUGUGUCAGGUAGGUCUUACUCACUUUCCGCUUCAUUUUUUUCUCGGCCGCGUAGGAAAUAUGAUUUGACGGUAAUCGUGGCGCUUUUGUUUCAGUGGCUGAAUGACAGCGACAUCUAUAACUCAGGCUGCACUCAGAGCCCGAGUCUGAGUUUGGCUGAAAAAAUCGCCCAUAAAAAAUUCGCCCAUCGCCCGCCCGCCGCGAAACGGGUGAUUUUGUUUUUGCGUCGUUUUCGGUAAAAGGUUUAUUUUCGGUUGGCGGCGGCCGGGCGCAUUUUUGCGGUUUUUGCGUUUGACGGCGGGCGGCCGUUUUUUGCGGCGUUUUGCGGUUGGCGGCGUAGAGUGCA
rnacentral:lncRNA from 1 species